UACGUAGGGUGCAAGCGUUGUCCGGAAUUAUUGGGCGUAAAGAGCUCGCAGGCGGUUUGUCGCGUCUGCUGUGAAAACCCGAGGCUCAACCUCGGGCCUGCAGUGGGUACGGGCAGACUAGAGUGCGGUAGGGGAGAUUGGAAUUCCUGGUGUAGCGGUGGAAUGCGCAGAUAUCAGGAGGAACACCAAUGGCGAAGGCAGAUCUCUGGGCCGUAACUGACGCUGAGGAGCGAAAGCAUGGGGGAGCGAACAGG
rnacentral:rRNA from 1 species